AGAGUAGGCGCAGGCAGUUGCGGCUAGUAGUCAAGAGCCUCGUGCUUAGGACUGCAAUCCGAGGAAAGUCCGGGCUUCUCAAAGACCAAACUUGCUGGGUAACGCCCAGUGCGGGUGACCGUGAGGAUAGUGCCACAGAAAGAUACCGCCGGUCAGAAGUUUUGAAUUACGAGUUACGAGUUUUGAGUUACGAACUUAAAACUCAAAACUUAAAACUCAAAACUUCUUCGGUAAGGGUGCAAAGGUGCGGUAAGAGCGCACCAGCAGCAUCGAGAGGUGCUGGCUCGGUAAACCCCGGUUGGAAGCAAGGCUGCGGAACAACGGUUGGUCUUUUACCAGUUCCAUGCAAAGGUGAGGUUGCCUCAUCUCUGCCCGUCCGCUUGAGGCGCUUGGUAACAAGUGACCCAGAUAGAUAACUGCCGUCUUAGAUGCAUGGCAUUUAGGACAACAGAACCCGGCUUAUGUCCUGCUCUCCUC
rnacentral:RNase_P_RNA from 1 species